AGGUUUCUAUAAUACUGAUCU
rnacentral:misc_RNA from 1 species